CAGGUGAAGAAACUACAAAGAAAGUUAG
rnacentral:sRNA from 1 species